rnacentral:rRNA from 1 species
UACGUAGGGGGCAAGCGUUGUUCGGAAUUACUGGGCGUAAAGGGCGCGUAGGCGGCACGGCAAGUCAGGAGUGAAAGGCCUGGGCUCAACCGAGGAACUGCUUUUGAGACUGCCGAGCUAGAGUGCAGAAGGGGCAACUGGAAUUCCCAGUGUAGCGGUGAAAUGCGUAGAUAUUGGGAAGAACACCUGAGGCGAAGGCGGGUUGCUGGGCCGACACUGACGCUGAUGCGCGAAAGCCAGGGGAGCGAACGGG